UUUCAUGGAGAGUUUGAUCCUGGCUCAGGACGAACGCUGGCGGCGUGCCUAAUACAUGCAAGUCGAGCGGACAGAUGGGAGCUUGCUCCCUGAUGUUAGCGGCGGACGGGUGAGUAACACGUGGGUAACCUGCCUGUAAGACUGGGAUAACUCCGGGAAACCGGGGCUAAUACCGGAUGCUUGAUUGAACCGCAUGGUUCAAUUAUAAAAGGUGGCUUUUAGCUACCACUUACAGAUGGACCCGCGGCGCAUUAGCUAGUUGGUGAGGUAACGGCUCACCAAGGCAACGAUGCGUAGCCGACCUGAGAGGGUGAUCGGCCACACUGGGACUGAGACACGGCCCAGACUCCUACGGGAGGCAGCAGUAGGGAAUCUUCCGCAAUGGACGAAAGUCUGACGGAGCAACGCCGCGUGAGUGAUGAAGGUUUUCGGAUCGUAAAACUCUGUUGUUAGGGAAGAACAAGUACCGUUCGAAUAGGGCGGUACCUUGACGGUACCUAACCAGAAGCCACG
rnacentral:rRNA from 1 species